CUUCAACACUGGGCAAUGGCAGGGAUGCGCAGAGGGAUCUCUGUAUUACUCUGAACUGUGGAGAACUGUUUUCCAGGGUCUUCUGCAGCUUUUAAGCAUCAAAGACAUUAGAACUAGAAACAAAUGCCAGGGAUGUCUUCAGCAGCCCUGCAUAGAAAGGCAAACCUCAGCCUCUAUGACAAUGGGCAACAGAGAUGCCCACGUAAUGUGAAUGGAAUCCUACUCAGAAAACAACUGAAGAGCAGAGACUGGGCUGUAUGAGCAGAGACAGUCACUGUGAUCCCUUUGUCAGGGUCCUGAAACACUCAGCCUCCUCUUUCGAGUAGUGAUGAAAUUUAAAA